AGAUUGAACGCUGGCGGCAGGCCUAACACAUGCAAGUCGAGCGGCAGCACGGGUACUUGUACCUGGUGGCGAGCGGCGGACGGGUGAGUAAUGCCUAGGAAUCUGCCUGAUAGUGGGGGGAUAACGUUCGGAAACGGACGCUAAUACCGCAUACGUCCUACGGGAGAAAGUGGGGGAUCUUCGGACCUCACGCUAUCAGAUGAGCCUAGGUCGAUUAGCUAGUUGGUAGGGUAAAGGCCUACCAAGGCUACGAUCCGUAACUGGUCUGAGAGGAUGAUCAGUCACACUGGAACUGAGACACGGUCCAGACUCCUACGGGAGCAGCAGUGGGAAUAGUUGGACAAGUGGGACGAAAGGCCUAGACUCCAGCCAUGCCGCGUGUGUGAAGAGGUCUUCGAUUGAAGCAAUUUAGUGGAGAGGCAGUUAACCUAUACGUUAGUGUUU
rnacentral:rRNA from 1 species